ACCGACCACGUUCCGCAGUUUUAUUGAACACGGCCGGCGUUUUCUACCAACUGCAACGAUGGAGCCAUUGAGAAAAUUUGCAAUAAGACUAGAGUCUCUCGCUUGUAAACUACGUCAACGUAUCUUCUGACAUCUCGGGGCCAUAUGAGGAGGAUGGAGACCUUCCAUUGAAACCACAGCGAUUGUGGUAGUAUCAUUCCACAUCCCAGCGAAUCAUCUGUCUCGUUACUUUUGGAAAAACAAGCUUACAGUGAACUCAUUCUGCUUUUUAAGCGAUGUCGCACCGACACCAGUUAACAAGCAGGACGUGUCCACUGCCUUUGCCCAUGCAAGGCAGCCGAACGAUACUUGCGAAAAUUCGUUUAAUAGGCGUUUCUACACGGCUGAUCUCCUGGAACCGUUGCAGCGACUCCUUCCUCCAAUGCGAUACGGUCAGCAGCUGAUUGUGCCAGCCCGGAAGUUGUUACGUUAUUGCUAGUAGUAAUGCCAGAACCAGACUACAGUUUCGGCUGUUUCCUCUCCGGCUGUAUCAUCGCAGACUGAUCGGCCAGCAACCUUUCUGCGACCAAAUGUCCUGCGACUAGUUGCCUUCGGCGAAAUGUAGCGGUGCCAUUAAAUUUAAUACUACACUGCAGAGGCGCUGGAUGGAUGUACAGCGUGUCAAGCGUCUCUCC